GCCUACGGGGCGCAGCAGUGGGGAAUAUUGCACAAUGGGGGAAACCCUGAUGCAGCAACGCCGCGUGAGUGAAGAAGUCAUUCGUGAUGUAAAGCUCUAUCAGCAGGGAAGAAAAUGACGGUACCUGAGUAAGAAGCCCCGGCUAACUACGUGCCGGCAGCCGCGGUAAUACGUAGGGGGCAAGCGUUAUCCGGAUUUACUGGGUGUAAAGGGAGCGUAGACGGCAGUGCAAGUCUGAAGUGAAAGGCAAGGGCUCAACCCUUGGACUGCUUUGGAAACUGUGCUGCGGGAGUGUCGGAGAGGCA
rnacentral:rRNA from 1 species